UGCUGAGAAGGCUAUGACAAGAGUAUCAGGAUGGUUUCUUUGAGUUUUCACACUCUGAAUAUUUAUAGUAGAACAUUCACAAAUGCCUCUCAGACACUCCUGAAUAUUCCUGUGAAACCAUAGAGGACCUGGAACUGCUCUUCUUCAGGACUCCUGGAAACACUAGAAAUACUGGUUAGAGAAAGGAAAGACUACUCCACCCUCUUCUGCCUCAAGAGCAAAGGGUGGAGUGAAGAGGAUGCAGUGAGGAAGGAUUGUAAAGAGUUGCAAAUACCUAUGGAUGGGCACAAUCUGCAGAUGUAGCGAAAUCUGUGAAGUGUGCAAUGUGAUUUAUAGGACAAACAAAGUGAGAGAAGUUAGUGAGCAGAACAGAACGUGAUUCUGAAAUGAUUUUUUGAAAAAGGACACAGGAACCAGAUACAAAAACAAACAAGAGGAGAGAAAACAACGAGAAGCCUUGUGGCACUCGGAAUGAUGGGCUGUCUCCUUAACUCAGCAGGUGAGGGGAAAAAAUAAAAGGACAAAAGCCUCCAAUCUCUUCAACACGGCCUAUAAUAGCAGAACUCUGAACUCUUCUCUUAAGUGCGUGUUCAGACUGAAAGGAAUGUGUGGUCUGUGUUUAUUCACUCGAUAAGUUUUUUAAUGGGAUGUCUCAGAAAUCUGUUUGUAAAAGCUAAUAUCCACUCAUUCUCUUUCCUUUUUGCUUCCCUUAGGGCCUAGUCAAGUGAGUAUACAGUAGAUAUUGCUAUAGAGCUCAGGUCUUGAGAGAAAGGGAUAGCUGACUCAUGAAUAUAGAUCAGUUCUUCUUACAGAAAAACUAGUAUCUUGAAGGUUGACUCAAUUCAAUUCCAUCCUAUUCAACAAAAUCUCUUGCGUGUAGAGAACCACACUAGUGGGGUUGGAAGGAAAUAAGUACUAGAUAAGGCCCAGUUUCUACCAUCAUGGGGUCCACAGUCUAGAAGAAGGAUAAACCAAAUAUGAGAAUAACUAUAAUAUAUGAUAAGAAAUCUGAAAUAACAAAUUACAAAUUUAAGAAAUGAUGCUUUUUAUGUGAUAGUAUAGUGGGAAAAGUAUUGAAUUUGAAGUAAGAACUUCUGGAUCUUGUUUCUCCUGUAUUGCUCUCAUAGUAUGAGCUUGGGCAAGUCAUUUAAUCAUGUCAGAUCUUAGUUUCCUUACCUGUCAUUUAACCACCAGGUGCCAUUGAUAGUCAUUCAUCUGGUACAUGUAGCACAAGAAUCUGAGUCCAACAUUAGUGGGUGGGAGUGUCCCAUAAACAUUGUAUGUCUUGCCCCACUGAUUGGAAGUGAUAAUUAUAAUGCUUUCUAUGGUUUGCAGGUAGUCAGAGUCUACCUCUGAUUCUCUCCAAGGGAUUCAACUUACAUAUUGUAAAAGGGUGUGUGGAUUUAUAGAUUUAUCCAAUAAGAAUUAGCUCAGAGUCCCCAGUCACUGUAUAAAUCAUACUUUCUUCUUGAGCUUGCUAUGUUACACAGGGAUAUAUAUACACACACACACACACACACACACACACAUAUACACACACACGUACAUUAAGCAGUAGCAAGCCUCUCAGUCUCCUAAACCCUCAGGUAUUGGAGAAGCAUCUUUAGCACAGAGAUUCUAGGAAAUGCUAUUUAAAUUUGAUGAGUUCCCUAAUGCCACUGCUUUUCUAAUAGGCAAAGGAAGAUUAAUUGACCUUCCAUUUUGGAUAAAAAGUUAAGACCUCUGCAGGAACUCUGGACCUUGAGACUGUGGGACUCAGAAUUUAGAAUUCAGGAGUCCUCAAACUUUUUAAAUAGGGGGCCAGUUCACUGUCCCUCAG